UUUUGACACCACAAGUUGGACACUUCAGAAAGCAGGUCACAUGACUUUGAGCAAGUUGUAUUAAAAUAAUAUUACUUUUUAGACACAGAAGUCAACUAGAGUUUUGCUCCUAACAUGAACCAUGUGCUUCUUAAAUCAUAUGCUAGCUUAUAUCAAUUUGUUUGAAUUAAAUAUUAUCAAAUAUUAAUCAUUUAUCACAUAAUCAGUAGUAAAAAGUCAAGAGGUCAAACUAACAAAUUUUUGUUAAAAUAAUUUUAAAAUACCAGAGUCCUCAAAAUAUAAAAUUAGAUUUGAAAAUCAAUUUUGAGCAAUCUUAUCAAAUUCGAACAUAAUAAUCAUACAAGAUCAAGUAUCACUCGAAUCCACUAAAG
rnacentral:lncRNA from 1 species